UACGGAGGGUGCGAGCGUUAAUCGGAAUUACUGGGCGUAAAGGGUGCGCAGGUGGUUUACCAAGAUAGCUGUGAAAUCCCCGGGCUCAACCUGGGCAGGUCAGCUAUGACUGGUAGACUGGAGUACAGGAGAGGGUAGUGGAAUUUCCGGUGUAGCGGUGAAAUGCGUAGAGAUCGGAAGGAACACCGGUGGCGAAGGCGGCUGCCUGGCCUGAUACUGACACUGAGGCACGAAAGCGUGGGGAGCAAAC
rnacentral:rRNA from 1 species